rnacentral:lncRNA from 1 species
GUAUUUUUAAACCCAACUCUGAACUGGACAUUUAGAAGAUGACUUCAUCAUCUCAUACUUGCAGGAUGAGACAUUCUUAAACAGUCUCAAUCAGAGGAGGUUUUUCUGUCUUAUGGAUCUUCAGAUCUAUGUGAUAGCAUCCCUAAUUCCUCAAGAUAUCUAUUGGCAAGAUAUCUAUUCUUCAUGUGAUUACUGAGAGCUUGGCUAGAUACAUGGAUGCACACUGCAUUGUUGCCACAUUAUUUUUAAAAAGUGAAGAAAUGGAACCUGCAAAUUACACAAGAGUGACAGAGUUUGUUCUCACUGGCCUAUCCCAGACUCGAGAGGGAAAAAACUUUGUUGUUUAACAAAGUUUGUGAAGUUUCACCCAACCAGCUCAAUUGGAAGCAGGCCAGUUCACCUGCCUGCAUUGCUACAAAACACAAUAAACUAACAUUAAGUGAAGGUGAGGUGGAAAAAAGUCUUCAGACAACUUUUAACCAGUUCUCAAAACCAGGAUUUCUGGUUCUGAUUGAGAUGGAAAGGCAGGAAUUGAAUUUACCCUCCUGCUUAGAGCAACAGAAAAAAAAAAAUCUACAAAACAGAUUUCAAGACACUGAACAUCAGGCAACAAAUGGUAAAACCAAAAACCAAACAGGUAAGUUCUGUGGUUUCCUAACUUAUUUUCCUGACAGAAUUUCUGGGGAACAAUGAAGGACAGGAAACUUGGAGAAGUCUGCAGACUCUGUGUUAAGAGGGACUUGAGUUUCUAGGGGGAGAACUCAGCAUGUACAAUUUGCAGGACAGAAUGCCAGAGAGGACUGUUCUGUUCUUUUCUUUCUUUUUUAAUUUUUUUAAUGUUUACUUAUUUUUGAGAGAGAGGGAGACAUAGAAUCUGAAGCAGGCUCCAGGCUCUGAGCUGUCAGCACAGAGCCCUAUGCAGGGCUCCAACCCCAGAGAACUGUGAGAUCAUGACCUAGGCCAAAGUCGGAUGCUUAAUCCUGCUGAGCCACCCAGGCGCGCCCCGACUGUUCUUUUCUAAUAUGAGCAUUUAAUGGCAUACAUUUUUCUCUAAGCACUGAUUUAGAUGCAUCCUAUAAAUUUUGAUCAGUCAUGUUUUCAU